ensembl:lncRNA
ACAGAGGGAGCCAAAGAGAGACAGGUCAAAACAGAAACAGAUGAGGAACAAUGGGAGAAAGAAGGAAAAAGAGAGAAAAGGAGGAAGAAGGGCAGAGGCUGAAGCAGGGAUCAUAACAUUAGUAGACAAAAUCAAACAAUUCUCGCUAUGAAUGCUGCAUCCUUAAGAUGGUAGUAGAAGAUCGAGACACAAGAAGCUGCUCAACUCGACUCCUAUUGAUGCAACAUGAUGGUACCUCACAGACGUUCAGUAUCAACAGAUCUCUCUAUGUUUGUGAAAUAACGUCUCGAGAUGACUGCAAACUUUUACUCAAGUUGAAACAUUCUCGACAUGAAUGAAAACCAUAGUUUGUAUUAAAGAAGUGGAUGCUGAUGUCAACUGUUGGUUUGCGUACCAAUUUGAAGCCUUGAGUUUGACUUUUU